GCGCCCGUAGCUCAGUUGGAUAGAGUGUCGGCCUCCGAAGCCGAAGGUCGCAGGUUCGAAUCCUGCCGGGCGCACCA
rnacentral:tRNA from 1 species